CUGGUGUACGGAUUGUGGCCACCUGCUGCAUUGUCCGGUAGCUAUGUGCGGACCAGAUAAGCGCUGAAAGCAUAUUAAGCGCGAAACUGACCUCAAGAUUAGAUUUCCCUAUGAGGACACAGAUAGACUAUCUGUUUGAUAGGUGCAAGGUGGAAGUGCAGUAAUGUAUGGAGCCGAAGUAUACUAAUAGUCCCAUUGCCUUUUUAU
rnacentral:rRNA from 1 species